rnacentral:lncRNA from 1 species
UUUUAUUGUUGUUGCACAUCCUCCUGAGCCUCCAUGCUUCUGUACCUUAAUGCAGGCUGUUCGUUGUAUUCUCUGUGUGUCAAAUUCCUUAUUGACAAUUUGUGUGCUACUACUUGGCAUUUGUUGAAGAUGUAUGUUUUAUCCCUAUCAGAUAUUGGGGCUAUAUACAACUUGAUUAUAAAGUUGCAACUAACUAGAUUUUGUGAUCUCGAAUCUCACCAGUUGUGCACAACUCCUAUACAACAUAUAUAUCCAUCUUGUUUCAAGAUACGGUACAAUUCGUAUGUUAGGGCCAAGUCUGUAUUUUAUACUCAGCAUGUGGUCUGGUUUGACUGUUUCUCGUUUUGGUUUUAGUAUGAGAUUAGUUGAGUAUGAAUUGGCCACGAUGCGAAAGUGUUUAGAUGUGCACCUAAUAAAUACAGUAGGCUGUUGUUGGUUGGAGUUUGAUGGCUCCCUCCCUGUAUCUUUCUGGCCGUAUUUUCAACUGUCUGUCACCCUGUCACCUGCAUCAGAAACUAGGUGAGAUGAGGUGAUUUCUUCUGCUUCCGUUCCCAGUUAUGGUACAUGCUUCCCACUUCUCUUCCUUUAUUUGCAACUGGAUUUCCUUGUCACUUAAGCCAUGUUUUCUGCUCUUUUAAUAAAAAGAGUUGAUGAAACGAUGUUUUCUGCCGUUGUUCCAUUAUUCUGUCGAGGAAUUGGGCGAUAUGUGGUUUCGCUUUCUAGUUCAUUUUGGACAGACCUGCAAAAUUAUUCUGGUUGCCUUUGGUAACAAUGACAUGCCUACUUGGCUCGCUAAAAUUGUUUGAUGGCUUGUCAAUCUCAAGCACGCAACUGCUCAGUUGUUAUCAAUCAAUGACUUGGUUUGUUCAUGGUUGAGAUUGAUCUCUCUUUCGCGUCAAUCUUUUUCCCUUCCAGUGAACUCUGUACAAAAAUACAUCGAGCAAUUUACAGUGAUUUGAAACACCGAAUUGACGACGCAACAGUCUUCUCUUCACGCACCUUUUCUAGAGGAAUGUCUUGUUCGAAAUCGAUCUGUCAAAACAAGCAGCUUUUCUCUUGUUGGUACUACAAAAAUUGUGGUUCCUUCUUUGUUUCUCUGUCCCGUCGUCUGCCUGUUCGGUCAACGGAUGGUGGCGAAUCCCCCGUGCCUCCACCUUUUUAAAGAUACUUGUUGGUAUAAAGGUUCAGACUAUCUUGAUAUUUUCAUGUUCAAAUCAUGCUUUAUUACAUGUUCGUAUCUCAAACAAGAUUCUUCAACGGGGGAUCAGUGAGAUGAUGGCGAGGCCUUGAGCCCAAGCGUGGAGGGGUGAGUGAAAGGAAGACAGGAGAAUUGGUGCUGGGUUUUCUCCACCGUUUUGGAGGCACCUCCCAUCCCAGCUGAUGGAUCAUGGAUGGGCAUCUUGUGCCAUCCACUUGGGUGGUCCAUGGAGAAUCGGCGGAUGCAUGCAGUACAGUGCGCGUGACGGUGGAAUCAUGGUCUGAUGGAGCCCAAGGACCAUGGGAGUUGCAGUAGUAGAUAGAUCAUCAAACAGUGGGUUGCGUUCUGGGGACACCGGGUCGUGAAGGAACAGCGACCUACGCGUUUUGGUCUACUGUACACUGGUCUUCAAGAAUGAGACGGGCUGUACGCUGCAGGAUUUGGUGGCUGUUGUGAGGGAAUGAGUUCGCAGUCGCGAUGGCACUCGGUGGAUCUCUCUGUCUCGAAAGUAUUUUUUUGAGAGGGAAAUGGAAGUGUGUAGUAGGGUGAGCUAAAAGUGACAGCAAGUCACUAAAGGCCUGUUCGAAAUCUCUCCGGUCCGCUCCACUCCGCGGAGCUCCUCGGUUUGAGCUGCUCCGUGGAAAUAAGUUGCAGUUUCCCCCGCUCCGGGAGCGCAGUCCAGGGAGCGGAGAGGAACCGAACAGGCCUUAAGUCAGCAAGUGUGGUUCAGAAUCCAGAGCGGUUGAUUGGCGUUGUUUCAUGGUCAAUACUGGUAUAUGCGGACUUGGACGGGAAUUAAGCACGCUUGAUUUGCCGGUCAGAGAGGGUUUGAUGGGUCCUGAUGCAGAAAUGGCAGCCGAACCAUCAUGAACCAGAUUAAUUCCCCAUCUAUAGCUUGUGGGGGUAAGGAUAGUUGAAACUAUGCGGAAUUAACACAGGGACUCACCGGAGAUGAAAUGCAGAGCUGCUGAAACUAUGCAAUCCCACCGUGAUGCUACACAUGGAUCUAGCUGAAGAUACACAGACACUCCAACACGCAGAUUUGGAUUUAAAGACGCAAAUCUACUGCAGAUGCAAAGAAAUACUAUAGCUGUUUGGAUGCAUAAAUUCGGCAAGCUUGCGUCCCCAGGUCCCCACGCCAUGCAUGGUUUGAUCGUGGAUCUUCUGGCAGGCUGGUACUACAAAAUAGUGCAGUGACACGACGGCCGGUGCACCUGUGAGCUACUCCUACUAGGUUAUCUGCACCUUCACUCAGCGUUCCCAAAUUAGAAACUGAUCGACACGAGCAGCGGCGGGGCCGCAGGCGUAUGGAUUGAGUGUAGGCCACAUGUAUCGGGAGCUGAAAGUGCGCUCCAAGACCUGAAGGGCGAGAGCGAGUGGGCGGGCUGCUGGUCGACGCACGGCGUGAGCGAGCGAUGGAGUGUUUGACCGGUGUUCCCGCCGGCCAGACGUGGUUCCGUUGGCGCGGGGGACAAUGAUCAACUCGGCGAGAGCGACCAGGGCCUUUGGCGUCGAGCGAGCGCGCCGUGCCGACCCGGCAACGGCAACGGCGGGACACGGGGGAUGUCAUCCCAUUUCUCCUCGCCCUCGGCUCAGCUGAUGCCGAUGCGGCAGGCAGGGCAGGUCGGUCGGGCCGGCAGCGCCACAGCCUUUCGUGGCUACGCGCGCGCUGCCGGGUGCCGGCCCCCCUGCACCCGCGUCGACGCCCCUCCUCUCCUGUUUCGGCAGUCUCUUUCACCACGCGACUUUGCCGAGCGCGCUGUGCCUUGCGGUGGCCCAGGCCACGCUCGGCCACGGAGUCUAGUACUAGUAUACGUACGAGUACUACAAGAUCGUGGAUACGCAUUAAUCGGAGAUCAGGCGAUCAAGGACGGAAGAGAGCAGCCAGGUGGAUCAACUGGCGUACACUCCUCAGCCGAACGGAUAUCAUCCCCUAAGCCAUCUUUAACGGCAAGCCACAGAAAGAACUCCCGCAUUUGUCCGCGGACAGAGGGACCAAUCCGCGAAUAUGGAUGCGGGAGGCAGCCAUCCAACAUUAGCCGCAUAUAUUUUGACUAUUUUUUAAUAAAUUGAAUGAAAUUCAUGUAAACACAUGCGUAUUUUGUACAAACAUAACAUAUUUAUACAAACACGGCAGAUUUAACUACAUUUAGAAGAAAAAAAAGACCCGCCCCUAAGCACAUCAUACGGCGGCGCUCGGCCGGCGUCCAAACCCGUGUCGUCUUUCUUCUGCCGUCUCCAUGAGCACCGGCGAUAAGACAGAUAAAGUGAAUGUGCGAUCUCUGGCUAGGAAGAGUAGAACACGGGAGACAGACCGGCCCACAUGAGAUACCAGGCCCCGCCGCCUCCCAUGGCCUACUCAUCCGAACAACAGCUUGAGCGCGGAAGGCAUCAUAGAUGGCACGCUGCUCCGCGAUGAAAUUCAGGCUCGUUGCAGCCAUGGCUGCCACGGCUUCCUCGCUCGCGCGCUCGCCGUAGAUCUAGCCGUCCACCAGCCAGUGCUGCUUCAGGAGAAACAUGUUGUACCGUUGUUCCUCCUGCGCCCACUGAAACGCCGACAAAGGCGCCAGAGCAGGCUGCACCUUCACCAUGUCGGCGUUGAACUGUGCAUGCGCCUGCUCCAUGGUGAAGCCGGCGUGCACAGGAGGCGCAGGAGCUGGGGCGGAGUCGUCGGAGCCCGUCUCUAUCGUGGUGUUGUCCUCGUCGUUGGAGACCUCGGGCGAGCUGGGCGGCAAGCCAGCCUUGAUCCGUCUGGCACGCCGGCUAUGCCAGGCGGCGGCAAGGGCGGCCAUCGCGUGCUUUAUCUCCGACGACAAACUGUCUCACAAUGCUUUCCCGCUGGCAGUCAUGGCGGAUGUAGUGCAAGGGAGUAUGAUGUGUAGGGGCUGGUGUUGUGGUGUGGUGUUAACAGGGUGUAGCCGCCUUUAUAUAGUGGAUUUCGGUGAGGCUAGGCAUCUUGGGGCGUCAAUGCGCGGCGUCGGAGUGGGCUUCUCGGCCGACAAACCUACUUAAUGGCGGCAGACGGACGGACAACGGCAUUGAACGGGCGCGACAGAUAUCCGUUCCGUCCAGUCCAGUCACGCGCCUCCGGUGUUGAACAUGCGCGGACACGGAAGACGCGUCACGGGCGGCGCCCUCAGCCGGCGCGCCGCUUCAAUGGCGGAGGCAGUCAGAGAUUGUGUCCGCUCUGAGCCGUCUUCAACGUUGAACGAUGCGCUCUACAGCGGCAUGAAAUGCGGGCAUUUGGCGCCGGAGGGGGGAGGGAGGAGUUCUUGGUGGGUCAGGACGGUCAGAAAACGGGUUUGAGAUCAGUCCGGACUCCCGUAAACCUCGUCCACGUUUGUCUUCGGUUUGCGAUAGAAAUCGCGUUCGGACCGCUCCGUGGACCGAUACAGGUCGACCUUGAAUGGCUUCCGCUGUCUGGACAGCACGGUCCAAACGUUUGAGAGAGGUUUUUUUUUUGCUAAUGAAACGGUUGAGAGAGGUUUACGAGUAUGUUUUGAAGAUACCCUGACGUGAGCAACACCAGCAGCACCAUGCAUUCCCAUGAUAUAUACUCCUACGUGGCAUGCACCCGGCGCGUGUCCGCCUCAUGCGCGCCUCGCUCGACCGGGCCGAACCGAGCGCCCACUCAUCAACGACCCCGGUGGCGGUGGGGAUCGAGAAUAGUCAGUCAGUCAAUGGCGUCUCCCGUGGCCGUUGAGAAACGCGAAUUUGAUGCUCCAUUUCCUUUCCCCUUUUCACGGUGGACGUGGUGGUGGUCGUGGAACAAAGCCUAGGAGCAUGGACCGGUGAAUACGAUUCCCCGCCCGCCCCGUCGAAUCCGCGUUGAAAAGCUCGAAAUGGAAAUCGAAAUGGAAAGCUCUGCUACGAGCAGCCUCUUUUUAUUACGGCCAUUUGUUCAUUUUCCCGGGUCAUGCUCCCGGCCAUCUGUAACAACCAACGGAUGCACGUCUGUUACUUUACCAAAAUACCAAGCCUGAACCGAACCCAUCCAUCUGACCAAAAAAAAA